rnacentral:rRNA from 1 species
AGCGAACGCUGGCGGCAGGCCUAACACAUGCAAGUCGAACGAACCUUUCGGGGUUAGUGGCGGACGGGUGAGUAACACGUGGGAACGUGCCUAUAGGUUCGGAAUAACUCAGGGAAACUCGUGCUAAUACCGAAUGUGCUCUUCGGGGGAAAGAUUUAUCGCCUUUAGAGCGGCCCGCGUCUGAUUAGCUAGUUGGUUGAGGUAAUGGCUCACCAAGGCGACGAUCAGUAGCUGGUCUGAGAGGAUGAUCAGCCACAUUGGGACUGAGACACGGCCCAAACUCCUACGGGAGGCAGCAGUGGGGAAUCUUGCGCAAUGGGCGAAAGCCUGACGGAGCCAUGCCGCGUGAAUGAUGAAGGUCUUAGGAUUGUAAAAUUCUUUCACCGGGGACGAUAAUGACGGUACCCGGAGAAGAAGCCCCGGCUAACUUCGUG